AGAGUAUAGUAUGCUUUGUCGCAAAAACUUUGAUUGAUGAGGGUCAUAAAAAUUCAAAUUUAAAAACUAGUUAGAGUUUGUUACAAAUUAAAUAAGAAAACUAGGUUACUGAUUAUCUAUCUAUCUAUCUAUCUAUCUAUCUAAAACAAACAAACAAACAAAAAGUAUCAGAUACAUUCGUUAAACAGUACGUGAGAGUCAAAGCUUGUAACAUUCCAAUUAAAAAACUAUUUAGAGUUUGUUACAAAUUAAAUAAAAAGAAAACUAGGCUAGUGGUUAUCUAUCUAAAACAAAAAAGUAUCAGAUACGUUUGUUAAACACUACGUGAGAGUCAAAAAUCUUGUAACAUUACAUUUUAAAAACUAUUUAGAGUUUGUUACCAGUUAGAAAAGAAAAGAAAAAUACAGAGGUUUGCAGUAUUUGUAUCUUACCGUGAUCUAAAACAAAAAAGAAGCGAACGUUAAGCAAACAGUAGUUUUUCUGUGUUACAAAUCAGGAAAGUUAGCAUUUUGUCACACCGAUAGAAAAAGUUAAAAGAAAAAAAGAUUCCCAGCAAAGCUUACGUUGUUUUCCGUCAGAUCAACCUCACACGCCGCUGACAAACUCAGAAUGAGCUCAGGAGCACUUCAGUUAAGCCACACCUACAACCCUACCCUUAACGCUGGAGGAGUGACCAGCACAAAAUAGAUUGAAAUUUAUGUUAAAAAAUUAAAGUAAUGUUUUUAGUAAAUCGUCAUCAUUUCUUAAUUGGUGAAAACAUUCUACCUGUUUUUAACAUUAGACUGCCGUUUUUUACUUUAAAAUUACGAUCACCUAUACAAGUUUUCUUCUAAACAAUCACCUCCAAGCCACACGAAAAAUUUUUUUAGUUUAGUUUAGUUAUUCACACUUAAUUUAUCAGUCUAAUUCCUUUAAUAUGUCUUUUAUUUUUGUCAGUCUUAACUUCUAACAUGCUAUAUCGGUUAAAACACACACACACACAUAUGCUUGCGCAAAUAUCUAACAGAAACGAAGUGUUUUGGAAUGUCUUUGAUUUCCUUCUGUAACGUUUGUUAUCAGUUGAAAUAGAUGUACAAUGUCUAAACUUUUACAACAUGGUACGAAGCGUAAAUAUUUCGUCUCAAGUAGUGCAGCAAAACGAGAACAGGACUGGGUGUUUGCAUUGUGUGAUUACUGAUGCGAACAUAUCAGUGUAUGGUAUAUUGAAAAGUUGUAAAACAUCUAAAAGUUUUCUGGGUUUGCAACUCAAUUGUAAACUGAGUUUUGAGGGUUCUGACAUUGUAAAUGUUGGUGUUGUGUGUCAACUAAAGUUCAGUGAUCAAAAACAGAUCGUGCUCACUGGUCAAAGGGUGACAAUUUAAACUAUUUUAUGAUCUAGAGCUGUGAGGUGCACUUUGCCAAAGUUUAGCCAAAAGCUCAAUGACAGGUCAAAAGGAUGAGACCUAUGAUUGUUUUUUAACAAGUCAGACUAUGGUAUAGGAAAUUUUGCAUAAUUUUAUUUAGUUAAUUUAGUUUAUUUUAGUUACAUUUAUUAUUUUUAUUCACACCUUGAUUUUUCAAGCCUCAACACAAACAUACACUGCAAAUGCACAUAAGUACACAAAUAUACAAAUAAACAAACUAGGUCACAAACACACACACAUGCAUUUAUGAGACAUACCUAAUACAAACAAGAGAAUUGAGAUCUUUUAUUUCCGAUGUAAGACAGAAGAACUUCAAAUGCAAAUAUCUACCCCGCUGAGAUGAAAGGUCGUGUCUACGCGCCAGGGUAUGUAACAAAGACCAGACAGUCUCUGGCGUAGAUCACGCUAGUAAUAUCACCCCCAGUUAAGUUGUAAAAGAAAAAAAUCUAAAAGAUGUUUCAUCUGUUGUUGCAUGUGCAUAAAUCAACGUUAUACAUUUAUGAGUAUUAAAGAUUUAUGGUAUUAGGGUACCCCCUACGGAUGGUUGUCGGAUUUUACGUGGUGUUCUCAAGUGCCGCCCCACACACCAAGUCCCGUUAAAAACCAAAAGUUUUGUUACGCUCAUUACCUGUAAAAUCUAUCUUCAAGUAGUGCUACGCUGAGAUCUCAACAAUAGAUGAAACAAUGGCUGACAAUUACCAGGGUAAGUGUUUUUCAUCUGAGUUAUUUAAAUAUAUUUUAAUGUGAAUAUAUGUUUAAUGUCUCUUGGUUAUAAUCUCUAGCUGGUUUUGAGAAUCAGGAUUUCAGUGAUGGUUUGGAACAGAUCCUUGAAGAGAUAUGUAAGUAUUUCCUCCUUUAAACUAUUCAAUGUCUAAUAAUAGCGACAAUAACUUUAUCAUUUUACCCAGAUGACCAGGCGGAGCUAUUUGCAUGUGAUGAUGAUGGCACUGUUAAUAACGGUGAGCACAUUGUUUCUGACAGUCACGUGGUGAUAUUACCUACAGAGGGCACGUUACAAGAGGUUGUGGUUAGCUUGGAAUCACAUCACAAACUAAACAACGUCACAAAUCCCACCCCCACCCACGUUCCGUCUUCAGAGGAACAGUCUCACAAGCUCCCAGACUGAGCGAGUGUUCACACCACAGAACAAGGGUAUGACGAAGGCGGCCUAACAGCGUGGACUGAUUCAAUGAUACAUGCGUGGGAUCAAGUGUCCUUCAGUGCUUCGGAAAGCGAGGAAGAGGAGGAAUUACCUCAUGAAAUUCCUCAGGAAUUGUUCCGUGAUCGUGAUUUAAACAGGAGGCUCGAUUAUGCUAUGCUGCCCCAUGUUAAUCGGAACUUUGAGACACUUUUUGACUUGAGCGGACAAACGUUAUUUAUCGGAAAGCAGAAGACAUCAUUGCUAGUGCACAAAGUGAUGUGGUAUCGAUUUUAAGAAAUAUCAUAGCGUGUCAACAACAACACAAAGAAUCCUUACGUCACGCGGCUGAGUUUUGGAGCAGUUGCCACGAACAACUGUAUGGUGAAUUCCGACAGUUUCAGCAGAGCAUGAGUGCCGUACUGGCGGAAAUCCAUGAGGUACAAAUCGAGCAACGUCUUACGGUUAAUGCCUUAUCGCUGAUUACUGAACGUUUAAAUCUUAUUCAAAGAAUGUUAACAGAUUUGUUCAAUCGUAUGAUGAGAGGUUGUCCGUGAUAUGUAUUGAAUUGUUGAUUGUUUUUGUUUUGUGUUAUUGACAUCGAUUCAUUAUUAUCAUUGGUUAUUUCUUAAUUUAUUACUAUUGUUUGUUACUGACAACGAAUCUUUAUUAUCAUUGGUUAUUUCUUACAUUUAUUAAUAUUGUUUGUUAUAGACAUUGAUUUAUUACAUGCAUUAUUGUAUGUUAUUGCCAGCCAUUUGGCGUUGUUUUACUUAUGGAGAAAUGGUGGUUUUGAAUUUAUACUGUGCAUAUCUGUUUUGUUAUAUCUGGUUAUGUCGCAUUGUGAAUGGUGUUGCUGUUUUCAGGAGUGUACACGUUUGUCUUAAGCUUGAAAAAGGUGUAUUUCUGAUUUUUAAAAUAAAAACAAUAAUAAUUCAAAAUGAGCAGUAAAAGAUGUCACGAUGAUUUACAUCCCCACACUUCAAAAGAUGAUCAGAGAUCAUUAAGACAUGAUUUUCCCAGACACGAUUUUCAAAACAAUAGCGAACAGUUACGUGAAAUGAUUAACAAUCAUUUUCAGAUGUUACAGCCUGAUUCGCU
ensembl:lncRNA